rnacentral:lncRNA from 1 species
UGGCCCCACAGGUGUGGGAACGCGGCCCGGCAGCCGCCCCCGGCUCUGCAAACCGGCACGGUAAAGUCACGCUGGUUCGUCAGGCCUCAGCAGAGCGUUCGGCUGAGCUUGGUCUCGAGGAGCCUGCGUGGCUCUGUCCCAGGGGAUGGUGCGACGGUGCCGGGGUUGGCUGCGAUAGUGGAGUGGCCCCAUGUGUGACUGCCCCUCUGCUCCCCCUGCCCCCUUUCCUUGGGCUCACAGGUUUUGGGAUGCCAGUCAGCCCCUGUCUGGACUGUUACCUCCAACCACUGAGUCUUUGUUUGUUCAGGCCUAGGGAAGGAGCAGCAGCAGGUGAGCUUGAAGGCCUGGGAGGGAUGCAAAGGAGAAGAGGAAGGCGGUGGAGACAAUGCACUGCCUUUGGUUCCUGGCCUGCUGGUGGAAGACGAGCCUCAGCAUGGCGUGGGAGCACCAUGUCCUUGCCAGCUCCAUGGGAACGUUUCUGUCAAGUGGAGGAGGAGAUUCUGCAGGAUUUUGAGAUCUGCUGCACAUGCCUGGAGACCAGCAGAGGAUAGGCAACAGCUCACCAAAGAGAGCCUGCAGGUGCUGAUAUUUGUGCAGUCCCUGUGCCACCAUAGCAGGACCAGGACACCUGUGUUUGUGCAGAAAAUGCUGUGGGUUCUUCCCUUACCAUUCAAAGUGGAUCGAAGUCAAUGCUUUUUUUCUGGGGAAAGAGGGUGACCAGGGCAUCCUCCCUGCAUCCACAUCUGCCAUGAUUCCCUGGCUUACUCUUCUUGCCAUGAACAGCUUCAUGCUCUCCCAGACGGGCUUGGGAGGAUGCUCAGAAAGAGCAAGGCGGGACAAGGAAAGCAUGUGUAAAGGGAGAAGGAGAGAAGAAACCCGAGAAGACCAUUUUCUUCCCCCGCCAUUACCCAUGGAAAGGAGAGAAGAGAUGCAGUGGGCAGACAGCAGUAGGGACAUGGUGGUGGCUCUCAGCUGCCCUCUCCCAACUCCAGCAGCACAGCCCAAGAGCUCUUCCCAAAGGAGGAGCUGGGCAACAAGCAGCAGCUUUAGCGAAGAGUAUGGUUUGGCCAUCAUGCUUCCCGGAGGAAUGAACGGAAGGAGUUUGCCCUCCUGUCCUGCAGGGCUGUCCUGCAGCGGCGCUCCCUGAAGUGGAGAAAGCACUGCUGGCCACUGCCUCGAGAAGAACUCUUUACAGUGGAGGGCAGUCAAGGGGCCACCCCAUCGCAUGUGCAAACACAUUCUGACCUAUCAGUGCCCAACUUUGCUGCGUGUGGCUCAGGGUCCAGCUGCUGCAUCUCACGCCUCCAGACCUGGUCCAGCUCACAGUGAAUGUGACAUUAUCUGCUGACAUGGCUGUGCUGUGGCCCGCCUGUUUCCUAUAGGUGGCUUCAUACUGAAUCACGGAAAGGUUGAGUUUGGAAGAACUUUAGAAAUCCUCUAGUCGAAAUCCCCUGCUCAAGCAGGGUCACCUAGAGCAUGUUGCUUAGGACCCUGUGCAGAUGGCUUUUGAAUAUCUCCAAGGAUGGAGACUGUCUGGGUGAUCUGUUCCAAAGCUCAAUUACCCUCACAGUAAAGAAAUUUUUCUUCAUGUUUAGACAGAACCUCCUGUGUUUCCUUUUGUGCCUGUUGCCUCUUGUCCUGUCGCUGGGCACCACUGAGAAGAGUCUGGCCCCAUCCUCUUCACACCCUCCCUUCAGAUACUUGUACACAUUGAUCAGAUCCCUGCUCAAUCUUCUCCAGGCUGAACAGGCCCAGCUCCCUCAGCCUUUCCUCAUAGGAGAGAUGCUCCAGUCCCCUAAUCAUCUUAGGAGCCCUUUGCUGGACUCUCUCCAGUAGCUCCAUGUCUCUCUUCUGGGAGCCCAGAACUGGGCCAAGUACUCGAGAUGUGGCCUCAGCAGGGCUGAGUAGAGGGGGAGGAUUCCCUCCCUCGACCUGCUGGCAAUGCUCUGUCUAAUGUGGCCCAGCAGGCCAUUGGCCUUCUUGGCUACAAGGGCACGUUGCUGGCUCAUGGUCAACUUGUUGCCCACCAGGACCUCCAGGUCCUUCUCUGCGCCUGCUUGCAGUUACCCUUCUGUGUGGGUAUGUUCUACUGAGAUGAGAGGAGGCUGGUGGUGCAGGGACACAUCUCUGGAGGGAAAAAGGCUGGG